UACGUAGGUGGCAAGCGUUAUCCGGAAUUAUUGGGCGUAAAGCGCGCGCAGGUGGUUUCUUAAGUCUGAUGUGAAAGCCCACGGCUCAACCGUGGAGGGUCAUUGGAAACUGGGAGACUUGAGUGCAGAAGAGGAAAGUGGAAUUCCAUGUGUAGCGGUGAAAUGCGUAGAGAUAUGGAGGAACACCAGUGGCGAAGGCGGCGUCCUGGACCAAUACUGACACUGAAACGCGAAAGCCAGGGGAGCAAACAGG
rnacentral:rRNA from 1 species